GGUGUGAAUUGCAUUCACUUGGUUGACUUGAUUUUCAUGUUGGGGUCGAGGACUAUUCUGAACUUUUGGACUGGAUUCAGAUUGGCUAGGCAACCUACCUCUCUCUCUCAUUCAUGGUAGAGGCUAGCUGACCUACUUGCAUUUUCAAUCGAGCAAUGGCUUGAGUUUUGGUAUUUAAAAAUUGGCUCGUGGUCUGCAUAAAGUUAUUCAGGGUGGCAUUGGUGUCAACAGUUGAUUUCGUCAGGACUUCUAG
rnacentral:lncRNA from 1 species